GCAUUGAGCAGUCCUUCUGUAGUUACUCGGGAUGCUGAGGUGGGAGGAUCGCUUGAGCCCAGGAGUUCUGGGCUGUAGUGCGCUAUGCCGAUCGGGUGUCCGCACUAAGUUCAGCAUCAAUAAGGUGACCUUCCGGGAGCGGGGGGCCCACCAGGUUGCCUAAGGAGGGGUGACCUGGCCCAGGUUGGAAACCGAGCAGGUCAAAACUCCCCUACUGAUCAGUAGUGGAAUCAUUACUGUGAAUAGCCACUGCACUCCAGUCUGGGCAACAUAGCGAGACCCUGUCUCU
rnacentral:SRP_RNA from 1 species